rnacentral:rRNA from 1 species
CCUACGGGAGGCAGCAGUGAGGAAUAUUGGUCAAUGGACGAGAGUCUGAACCAGCCAAGUAGCGUGAAGGAUGACUGCCCUAUGGGUUGUAAACUUCUUUUAUAUGGGAAUAAAAUGUUCCACGUGUGGGAUUUUGUAUGUACCAUAUGAAUAAGGAUCGGCUAACUCCGUGCCAGCAGCCGCGGUAAUACGGAGGAUCCGAGCGUUAUCCGGAUUUAUUGGGUUUAAAGGGAGCGUAGGUGGCUUGUUAAGUCAGUGGGAAAAUUGAGAGGCUCAACCUCUUCGAGCCGUUGAAACUGGUGUUCUUGAGUGCGCGAGAAGUAUGCGGAAUGCGUGGUGUAGCGGUGAAAUGCAUAGAUAUCACGCAGAACUCCGAUUGCGAAGGCAGCAUACCGGCGCUCAACUGACGCUCAGGCACGAAAGUGUGGGUAUCGAACAGGAUUAGAUACCCCUGUAGUC